rnacentral:rRNA from 4 species
AAACGACUCUCGGCAACGGAUAUCUCGGCUCUCGCAUCGAUGAAGAACGUAGCGAAAUGCGAUACUUGGUGUGAAUUGCAGAAUCCCGUGAACCAUCGAGUCUUUGAACGCAAGUUGCGCCCUAAGCCUUCUGGCCGAGGGCACGUCUGCCUGGGUGUCACA